rnacentral:rRNA from 1 species
GACGAACGCUGGCGGCGUGCCUAAUACAUGCAAGUCGAGCGGACCGGAUUGGGGCUUGCCUUGAUUCGGUCAGCGGCGGACGAGUGAGUAACACGUGGGCAACCUGCCCGCAAGACCGGGAUAACUCCGGGAAAGCGGAGCUAAUACCGGAUAACACCGAAGACCGCAUGGUCUUCGGUUGAAAGGCGGCCUUUGGGCUGUCACUUGCGGAUGGGCCCGCGGCGCAUUAGCUAGUUGGUGAGGUAACGGCUCACCAAGGCGACGGUGCGUAGCCGGCCUGAGAGGGUGACCGGCCACACUGGGACUGAGACACGGCCCAGACUCCUACGGGAGGCAGCAGUAGGGAAUCUUCCGCAAUGGGCGAAAGCCUGACGGAGCGACGCCGCGUGAGCGAAGAAGGCCUUCGGGUCGUAAAGCUCUGUUGUGAGGGACGAAGGAGCGCCGUUCGAAGAGGGCGGCGCGGUGACGGUACCUCACGAGAAAGCCCCGGCUAACUACGUGCCAGCCGCCGCGGUAA